AUUGAACGCUGGCGGCAGGCCUAACACAUGCAAGUCGAGCGAGCGGCGGACGGGUGAGUAAUGUCUGGGAAACUGCCUGAUGGAGGGGGAUAACUACUGGAAACGGUAGCUAAUACCGCAUACCAUCAGAUUUGCCCAGAUGGGAUUAGCUAGUCGGUGGGGUAACGGCUCACGUGGGCGACGAUCCAUAGCUGGUCUGAGAGGAUGACCAGCCACACGGGAACUGAGACAGGGUCCAGACGCCGACGGGAGGCAGCAGGGGGGAAUAUGGGAAAAUGGGCGCAAGCCUGAUGCAGCCAUGCCGCGUGUGUGAAGAAGGCCUUCGGGUUGUAAAGCACUUUCAGCGGGGAGGCGUUACCCGCAGAAGAAGCACCGGCUAACUCCGUGCCAGCAGCCGCGGUAAUAC
rnacentral:rRNA from 1 species